rnacentral:rRNA from 1 species
UACGUAGGGUGCAAGCGUUGUCCGGAAUUAUUGGGCGUAAAGAGCUCGUAGGCGGUCUGUCGCGUCGGCUGUGAAAACUCGGGGCUCAACCCCGAGCCUGCAGUCGAUACGAGCAAACUAGAGUGUUGCAGGGGAGACUGGAAAUUCCUGGUGUAGCGGUGAAAUGCGCAGAUAUCAGGAGGAACACCGGUGGCGAAGGCGGGUCUCUGGGCAACAACUGACGCUGAGGAGCGAAAGCGUGGGGAGCGAACAGG